AGUUAUAUGCUGUCUCAAAGAUUAAGCCAUGCAUGUCUAAGUACACACGAAUUAAAAGUGAAACCGCAAAAGGCUCAUUAUAUCAGUUAUGGUUCCUUAGAUCGUUAACAGUUACUUGGAUAACUGUGGUAAUUCUAGAGCUAAUACAUGCAAUAUAAACACGGACCUUUUGGAACGUGUGCUUUUAUUAGACUAAAACCAAGCGAUCGCAAGAUCGUUAUAUUGGUUGAACUCUAGAUAACAUGCAGAUCGUAUGGUCUUGUACCGACGACAGAUCUUUCAAAUGUCUGCCCUAUCAACUUUUGAUGGUAGUAUCUAGGACUACCAUGGUUGCAACGGGUAACGGGGAAUCAGGGUUCGAUUCCGGAGAGGGAGCCUGAGAAACGGCUACCACAUCUAAGGAAGGCAGCAGGCGCGUAAAUUACCCACUCCCAGCUCGGGGAGGUAGUGACGAAAAAUAACAAUACAGGACUCAUAUCCGAGGCCCUGUAAUUGGAAUGAGUACACUUUAAAUCCUUUAACAAGGACCUAUUGGAGGGCAAGUCUGGUGCCAGCAGCCGCGGUAAUUCCAGCUCCAAUAGCGUAUAUUAAAGUUGUUGCGGUUAAAACGUUCGUAGUUGAAUUUGUGCUUCAUACGGGUAGUACAAACUGUAAUUGUGGUAUGUACAUUGCCUUAUGUAUGUAAGCGUAUUACCGGUGGAGUUCUUAUAUGUAAUUAAUACUUGUAUUUUUUAUGUAUUCCUCCUAUUUAAACCUGCUUCAGUGCUCUUCAUCGAGUGUUGUUGUGGGCCGGUACAAUUACUUUGAACAAAUUAGAGUGCUUAAAGCAGGCUCCAAAUGCCUGAAUAUUUUGUGCAUGGAAUAAUGAAAUAAGACCUCUGUUCUACUUUCAUUGGUUUUUAGAACAAGAGG
rnacentral:rRNA from 1 species